AAUUGCACUUUUCGUCCUUUAUGUUUCAGGGUUUCUGCAGGCGCUGUCCUUUAAGUUUAAAAAUUACACUAUGUUUGCAACCUAUAACGGGCGGUGUCCUUUCUCAUAAACCCAGUUAUCUUUUAAUGUUAAAACCCCUUGUCUUUCUCAACUUCAAACAUGAAGGACCUUUUAUAUAAAAAAGUGAAACAUGGGUCAAGCAGGGGAAGCCCUAAUUGUGCUUCACCGCCGUACACUGCGACCAACCGUCGUGCGAUAUGCUCUACGCUGCUGCCGGAAAGUUGCCAGGAUGAGGUUGAUUGAAGAAGCUGCUUCACGGUUGUAUAAUAACAAAAGAUAUGUUGCUACACAACCUACCACCAAACGAGAAUCCACGUGUACUGGAGUUUUCAUGCCCCGGCAACCCGAGCCCCGACUGAGCCCUUUAAAAAACGGGGAUGUUCGGCCGUUUUAUUUUCAGAUAGAGUGGUGCAGGCUCUCGAUUUAAAAUUGGAAGCCAUGGGAGGUGAAUCAAAGCUUCAAUCUCGUUGCAAUGGAGGAUCUGACUACAAUGCGGAGAUUAUGUAUCGGUGGGGAUGACGGAGUUCAGGCUUCCUCAAGAAUGGACCUAUUGAUGAUAAUGAUGGAGAAUUUAAGUAGGAAAUCGUUACAUAUAAGCAUAAUAUAGUAUAGGAGUUGGUUUUGUUUAAGUGGUGUAUGGAUGAAUGAAUCAAAGGAAUAUGAUGAAUGAAUGAAUAAAGUGAAGGUGAAGAUCCUAGCAUAAUGCUCUGUUUUGGGUUAGAAUGAGCAUUGGGUUUAUUUCUAGAGAAUAAUAAGGUAGGGGUAAUGGUAUUAGA